CACCGCCCGUCACGUCAUGGAAGUGGAUGAUACCAGAAGCGAAUAGUUUAUCCGCAAGGGGGGCGUUUGCCACGGUAUGAUUCAUGACUGGGACG
rnacentral:rRNA from 1 species